GGUGUGGUUUUGAAACUUCUGUGAAUGAUGUGUAUGCCUUUGACUCAGUCCUUAACUUAAGGAGGGGAGGAGGAGCGUAUUAGUUGGAGCACAGUUUGAGCUUGGGGUUGCAUUGGAGCUAAGGAGCAACUUGUAUGAUCUGCUGUAUUCUCUGUUUAAAAGCAAUGGCUUUAGGAUCAUCACACUCAGGGCAUAUAAAGACAAUGGGGCUUUAAAUCAAUCCCAAGUGAAAGCUGGCAGUACUUUUGUUAAUGAUCUCAGAGUUUUAGAAGACUUCCAACAUACACAGCAUCCUAAAGGUGAGUAUAUUUCAACGUGUAGUGAGCUGGACAAUAACUUUUAAACGUUGAUGUGGUUGAGCCGUAAUGACGUGCUAGGUAGUAUCUAAUAUAAGUACUUCCACUGCGUGGUAGUGAGUAGCUAUUGCAUGUAAGGUCAUUUAAAUGUAUGUAGUGCAGUGAGGACCACAAUGGAAACAAGUCUUUUGACUUUUUGUGUAUAUAAUCCUCUGAAAUGUUGGUACAUGUAUUUGCGCCUGGUGUGGCUUCUAAGUAUUUUUAAAUAAAAACAUCAAGUGACACACA